GUCAAAAUUAAGUGGAUGUGAAACGUUUUUAUAGAUGGUUUUGUGUGUAUAUCACGUGCCCAAUACAACCUCAAAAGCCCCUAAGCUCUCACAAUUUUUCUACUCUCUCUACUCUCGUGCUUUUUCUUCUUCUUUCUACCUCUCUCUCUCAAAAGACAAAAAGAAGAAUGGAGAGUUUGAAUUGUCAAAAAAAAAAAAAGAAUGGAGAUUUUGAAAAGUUGCAUCAGAAACUUUUGGAAGGCGUACUAAUUUCAGGAAGAUGAACAAGAUCUGAAGGUUUUUGCUGUUCAAGACAAAAGCAGUUUCCCUCUUGGAACCAAACUUACACGAUGGGAGAAGAAGAGAGGACUGAGAGGAAAAAUGACGGAGAAGAAGUGACAACGGUGAAGGAGAGAUGGGCGGAGAAGAAGAGAUGACACCAGAGAAGGAGAGAUGCCACCGGAAAAAGAGAGAUGGCGACAGAGAAUAAGAGAUGACGACGGAGAAGAUGACAGAGAAGGUCGAUGACGAAGAAGAUUGUCGGAGUAUGUCUAAAAAAAAAGAAAGGGCAAAAUUGUCUUUAUUAAAUAAAGGAAGGGUAAAAAAAAAAAUGGCUAUCAGAGAGAGUAUUUUUGAAAUCAGUAUCAAAGAAGGGAUAUUAGUAACAAAUUCUCAUUUUGUUAUAAAUGAUGUAUUCAAUUUUCUAUGUAAAAAUUAAAUGUAUUUUUUGACCA